rnacentral:misc_RNA from 1 species
UACAAAUAAAAUUUGGUCCAAUUUUUUUGUGUACGAACUUGAUCAAACAAGGUUCAAUUUUGGGCCUGAUAUAAGAACCCUAAUUUCGUCCGUCACUGGGUACCCAGUAAGCCUCUUAUAAAGCGAACCCACGCGUCAACUGAAGCCGCAUACCACGGUGGCGCGUCUUUCUCGAAUGUGGACAGUAAAACACAAUUGUUUUCAAUUCGAUCCACGCGUACGUUUAAGGCUUCGUCAUAUUCGUUAUCGUCGAUUUAUUUAUUAACAAAAUUCUUCUUUGAAAGUGUUGUGUAAAGUGUGUUGUGUUUAUCGGACUUGCUUGCUAGUCAGUCAGCCAUCCAGUCAAUUAGAACGAAAGCAAUCGAACUAGCAACGAUGUUUUACUACUUUGAGCGUGGCUUAGAAAUGCGAACGAUCGUUCGUAAAUUGAAUCAUAGUGGUCGGUGAAAUAAGAUCAUUGAAAUACGUUCUGAUGCUAUUGCUACUGCAUCAGGUGGUCAGAAAAUUGCCAUUGCGACUGUCCUCUAAUGACCUUGAAUAUCAUACCUAUAAUCUUUACAUGUGCGAGAUCUUAAAAUUAACACCGGACAGUUUUUUUUCAUUAUCUCACUCGUAUACUUCAAGAACAAAAUAAAUACGCAGCAUUUUGAACAUUCUGAAAAAUAAAUGGUACGUAUACAACAACGCUCGGGAUCAUCAAAGAUCGUGGAUAGGAUAUUGAUAUCUAAUUAAUAUUGUAGUAAUCUUUGGUAAUCCUACCUCAACGAGAAAAUGCGUAUUAGUCAUUUUUUGUCUAAACUCGUAGUAGAACCUUUUCCGAUCGAUACCUGUAUUAGGUAUAUACCUGAAGCGUGAGAUACAAAUCGAAACAGGUGUACGGUUGCUAAGAGAACAACACCGGAUGUCUACCUUUGGUAGUCGAUUUUUGUUAUCUCAACGAACAAUCGUCCAGAAUCAAUAAGAGUUAAUCAACGAUUUGAAAAAUAAUUCGUUAGAACGAAUAUCUUAGAAGAGAAACAAUAUGGCCUUGGCAAAACUUAAAAGUUUAAUCGACAAUGGUUUAAAAAAUGUGUCGACGCCUUUGGAUCGUACCGUUAAUUUAGAACCGGAAGUAGGCAUCAGAAUUGUCCAUUCGCCAAACGAAAAAACUCUCUGCGUAACCGUCAUUGGUGCUAGACAUCUACCGCAAAAUUUUGGAUUCACCAGAGUCAACAGUUACGUCGUUAAGGUGAAGCUGAUACCGAGUAAAGAAAAAUUCGAGACUACGACGAGGAACGAAUCCUGGCCACGUUGGAACGAAGAAUUCACUUUUCAUUUGCGAAAAGAAACGAAAAUCAAGUUUGGUAAGUCGAAAGUCGUCGAGGAAGAAAUAAAUGGUUCGAAAUUCAUCGUAGUCACGCUCUACGCCAUUCUCGAAGAUAAACCUUUGAUUGCUACGGAAAAGAAGGAGGCAGAUAAGGAGAAAAAUUUAUCUCCUAUGAAAGAGUGUGCAAAGAAGACUAGUAAAAAGGGUCAGGAAGGAUCAUCGAAUGAUCAUCAAGAUGGUUGCAAGAAUAAAAUAUUUGGUCAAUUUUUUAGUAAAGGACAAGAGAAAAAUUUCGAAGAUCAAAUAAGCGAAAGGAAAAUCUUUGACAAAAGACGAACAGUCGGUGCUGUUACGAUAUCACUCGAUUCAAAAAACUUUACGAUAAAACCACCAAAACCGAAACACGCCAGUGAUGUAUCAACCGGUGAAUUGUGGAGACCACUCAAACCGAUCAGCAGUGGUAUUGCUGUUGCCGAAGACAAAAAAGAAAAUAAAAAGGGAAAACUCGAGUUGUCCCUUUGUCUGGAAAAAACGGACAAAAAGGAAGAAACGAGUGGAAUUUUGGUAUUAUGUCUCCAUCGUAUGAGAUGUUCAUUACAAACAAUGCACGAACACGAAUUAUUGAAAGGACAAAUGUACCUGAAAAUGUCAGUCAUCGAGAGCGGCAGGAUAACGCAUUUUUGGAAAAGCGGUCGUUUCGGUCCUUGCGUUUCGAUGAAAUUUUCACCAGACAUGGCUAGGGUCUCUGUAGAAAAUCCUUUCGAUGGUGCACUCAAGGACGUUAGCUUCGUAAUUAAAUACGUCUCGAAAAAUAAAAUGGGUAAAAAAACGACAGUUGGUCAUUUUGCGAUUGGACCCGACGUUGGUGGGCCUUACGCCGAGCAAUGGAAACAAGCACUAGCGAAACCAGGACAACAAAUAACGAAAUGGCAAUCAUUUGAGAAGUCCCCGUCAGGCCACGCUCAUUUUCAAGGAAGUCUCCGUCGGACCAUAGAAAUAUCGUGUUAUACGCUGUCAGCCAGCGGUGGCUGACGCGGCCUAAACGGAAAGUCUAGUGUCCGCUACUGAUGGCGGACGUGGCGCUCAACGUGUUAAGAGUGACGCCGUACGGGGUAACGAGACACUUUGAGAAGCCCUAAUUGAAUGAACGUGAUUGUAGUGGUCAUAUUAACUAGUGAUGACGUCCAAAAAUAAAUAUUAUAUUUAAGAUCUAUUGUCGCGCAAAAUAUGUAUUUUUUAUGCAACAUUAUAUCAUAGACGUAUUUCUAUUUUUUCAUACAAAUAAUAAUAUAAAUGUUUAAUAUGUGACAUCGAUAAAUAAGUAGACGCAGCUUUAACAGUUAACGUAUGCUUAUGGGUGGUGCCAUUUUAAUUUAAUGUAUAUAUUAUUUGACUUGUUUUAUUUUCCUCGAGUAUAAAUGUAAUUAUCGAGAUAUGCGACAUUAUGCGUGCAGAGAGAAUUAUUUUUAAAAAUUCGAUGUGUGUAUUAUUAAUAAUAUAUUUUAUUCUAUAUAUGUGUA